rnacentral:rRNA from 1 species
GCGGGUGCAGGAUAAGCCCCCCCCCUCUUGCUCCCAAAAAAAAAAAAAACAAAAAAAUCUGCAUACCCGGUUUUUCUUCCUUGGCUGUUUUUUGUCAAUGUGCAAAAAUUUCCCGGUCGGGGAGGGAUGAUGCCAAAAAAAUUAUAAAUUACAAAAAAGCCCCCAGUGGCCCCUUUUUUUUUCCAACACGGGAAAACAACCCGGCGCCGGGCCGUGGAUACAAAAUUAUAGCUUUUUCAUGAUUCGUGGUUGGGUGGGGCAUGCCGUUCUUAGUUCUGGACGAUUUUCUGUUUAUUCCGAUAACGAGCGAGAUAGGCCUACUAACUAGUGCGGGCUUGCUUCUGUGCUUAUAACUUCUUAGAGGGAUUUGCGGCCUAGCGGCACGAAACGGAGCAAUACCAGGUCUGUGAUGCCCUUAGAUGUCCGGGCUGCACGCGCGCUACACUGGCAAAGGCAGCGUGCUUUGUCCGCCUCCGAAAGGAGCCGUAAACCCUUGAAAAUUUGCGUGAUUG